rnacentral:rRNA from 1 species
UACGUAGGUGGCGAGCGUUAUCCGGAAUUAUUGGGCGUAAAGCGCGCGCAGGCGGUUUCUUAAGUCUGAUGUGAAAGCCCACGGCUCAACCGUGGAUAGCCAUUGGAAACUGGGAGACUUGAGUGCAGAAGAGAAGAGUGGAAUUCCACGUGUAGCGGUGAAAUGCGUAGAGAUGUGGAGGAACACCAGUGGCGAAGGCGACUCUUUGGUCUGUAACUGACGCUGAGGCGCGAAAGCGUGGGGAGCAAACAGG